GGGUGCGAUCAUACCAGCACUAAUGCACCGGAUCCCAUCAGAACUCCGCAGUCAAGCGUGCUUGGGCGAGAGUAGUACUAGGAUG
rnacentral:rRNA from 1 species